ACCCCUCUCCCCCACAGGUGGAUCAUGAAGAAUUCAUGCCUGAAGAGCACUUUGUUCGUGUAGGUAGAAGUCAUAAUGUCCAACCUGGCUUCCAAAGCUCCUCACCUAAUUUCCGCUCUUUGGUGGAGUCUCAGCAGCUCCUGCAGAGUGCAAAAGUCUUGUAAAGGGAAUGGAGAAUUGCACCCAGCGAGACGGCUCUAUCUGAUCCUAUUCCUCCCCAUCAGUCUGCCUACAAGCUUUCUCACACUCGUGUGAAAUGAUCUACCUGUGCUAUUAGAUUUCAUAUGCGGAUUUUAUUUUUCUCAAAAGACUGCAUUAAUUGGAACGAGCAAGUCGCAUGCCUAGUCGCAUAAGGAAAGAAAAGGAAGAUGUCACUAUACUGCAAAACCUCACCUGCCUUUUUUUGAUGAAUAUGGUCUGAACUUUAACUGAGUUAAACAAAUAUUAUUCAAGCUUCAAAAUGUUUAUGUAUACCUAGACAAUCUUAUCAGAUAAUGUUUUCAGAUAAACAAGAGCUUGGCUUGGUGCAUCGUGGAAA